rnacentral:rRNA from 1 species
GAGUGAAGAGGGAAGAGCUCAUCAUUGGAAUUGGCGGUGUUGCACCGUCCGAGUUGUAGAUGAGGAGUGGUUCAUCUGGACUGCAUGGCGUCCAAGUACAAUAGGCCGUCAGUGGGACAUCAUAGAGGGUGACAAUCCCGUCCUUGAUGCCAAUGUGCAAGUCCAUUACGAUGACCAUCUCAGAGAGUCGAGCAGUUUGGGAUUUGCUGCUUAAACAUGGGAGGUAGAUUCCUUCUAAAGCUAAAUACAGGCAAGAGACCGAUAGAGAACAAGUACCGCAAGGGAAAGAUGAAAUAGCACUCUGUGAAGGGAGUCAAAAGGCGUGAAAUUGUUGCGAGAGAAGCGAUUCAAGUCAGCGUAGCUAGGCCCAUUAAGCCUCUUUGCGCUUUGGACUAGCUUUGCCAGCGGUCUUGUCCUUAGAGACUUGACUUGUAUGUCCAGCCUGGUAUGCACAGGUAGCCCUCCGGGGUCAGUGACAUGGCUGGUGGAAUGGCUUGCAAUCGACCCGUCUUGAAACACGGACCAAGGAGUCUAACAUGUAUGCGAGUAUAAGGGUGGCAAACCCGUAUGCGCAAUGAAAGUGAUUUUCGGUGAUUGAGAAUGGCCUGAUGACCAGACAAGCAAUAUAUGUCCCUCGUACGGCCAUUGCCCAAGUUCCGUGGUAGAUCCCACGAACAUGGAGUUGGAGCAUACAUGCUAGGACCCGAAAGAUGGUGAACUAUGCCUGGACAAAGCGAAGCCAAAGGAAACUCUGGUGGAGGCUUGUAGCGAUUCUGACGUGCAAAUCGAUCGUCUGAUCUG